AGCCGCGGUAAUACGUAGGGAGCAAGCGUUGUCCGGAAUUACUGGGCGUAAAGGGCGCGUAGGCGGGGUUAUAAGUUAGGUGUGAAAACGUAGGGCUUAACUUUACGAUUGCACUUAAAACUGUAAUUCUUGAGUACAGGAGAGGAAAGUGGAAUUCCUAGUGUAGCGGUGAAAUGCGUAGAUAUUAGGAGGAACACCAGUGGCGAAGGCGACUUUCUGGACUGUAACUGACGCUGAGGCGCGAAAGCGUGGGGAGUGAACGGGAUUAGAUACCCCGGUAAUCCACGCUGUAAACGAUGGGUACUAGGUGUAGGAGGUAUCGACCCCUUCUGUGCCGGAGUUAACGCAAUAAGUACCCCGCCUGGGGAGUACGGCCGCAAGGCUGAAACUCAAAGGAAUUGACGGGGACCCGCACAAGCGGUGGAGCAUGUGGUUUAAUUCGACGCAACGCGAAGAACCUUACCAGGGCUUGACAUCCCUUGACGUCUGUAGAGAUACAGAGUUUUAUCUUUCGGGAUAGACAAGGAGACAGGAGGUGCAUGGCC
rnacentral:rRNA from 1 species